rnacentral:tRNA from 1 species
GUGGGUUUAGCUCAGCUGGUUAGAGCGCCGGAUUGUGGAUCCGGAGGUCGCGGGUUCAAGUCCCGUAACUCACC